rnacentral:rRNA from 1 species
AAUGGCAGGUCAGCAUACUGCCGUGAAUACGUUCCCGGGCCCUUGUACACACCGCCCGUCACACCAUGAGAGUUGGGAAUACCCGAAGCCUGUGAGCUAACGUAAGAGGCAGCAGUCGAAGGUAGAAUCAAUGAUUGGGGUGAAGUCGUAACAAGGUACC